UUUUUAUAUUUUUUUUUUUGUGUGUGUAGGAUGUGUUAAUCCUGAUAGAUUUUACCCAUGAAUUCCAAAACUGCAUUUUUGUUUUAGUGGGAGGGGGUGGCUACUUUGUAAACAAUAAUGUGAUUUCUCUUCAGACAGAGAUUUUACACUUGUCAGAUUGGAUGCACCAAUUAUAUACAGUAGUGUGUUGUUUUUUUUUUUUUUUGUUUUUUGAAAAAAAAAAGUGAAAGGCCUCCGAUGUUGUUCCUCAGGCCUCUGCUAUUCUUAGUUUCACCGGUGCUAACAACUAUUUAUAUGUCCUUUAUGUUUUCGAAUGGGAGCUUCUUGUAGGGUGUCACAGGAAAGGUGCCUUACUUGAUAAGAUCUGCUUUUAUUCACAGACUUGCCACUGCUCUUUAGUGCAUCCUGUGUCGUCUUAUCGGCAGUUCAGACAUUUGGUGCUAAUAAAUGUGUAUAUAUAAAUAUUUCUAUAUAUCGAAGAUGAUUACUGUGCUUCAGUGCAUUGUCUGUGUAAAUGUAGUCUAUCAACGGAGACACUUAACAGGGAUACCUGCAAGUCUAUCUUCUGUGUUUUUUGUUUUUUGUUAUUUUGUCAGGGGGUUGUUAUUGAGGCCCCACUGGUCGUCUUGGUGCUAUAGUGAGUGUUAUUUUCGCUUGAUGUCUCUUCUUUUGGAGGUAUUGUGCAAAAAGUAGCUAUAAGAGGUGCUAGCAAUCCUGUUCAGAGCAAGGCAACUGCUGUUGUGUUUUUUUUUUUUUUUUUUUUUUUUUUUAAAUCUGUAUUUAAAUUGAUUUUGGUUCUUGUGACACGCAAAAAUUAGUGUUAUGGUAAGAUUCCUGAACUCGGAAAAACACCGCUCUUCUAUAAUACACAUCUAGAGAUCUGUUACAAAAUUCCAGCUUCGUGACUUGUACAAUAAUUUUAUUACCAAUAUUUCAAUAUUUGAAGUUAAACUGGCACAGCUUGUUGCCCUUUUGUACCAGUUGCAUUGUGGUGUUCAGUGGUAUUUAAAAUACAUUUGUUUGAACUGCCAUAAACCUUUUGGUUUUUUGGCUUUUAAUGCUCUGUAUGUUAUCAGAAUAAACAUCCACCUGGGAGGGACGCAGUUAAAGGUACACUCCAGACCCUUAAAAGCACUUUAGCUUGCUCAAAAGCUUUGUGUGAAGUGUGUCCUCUUGAUCUCAUUUAGCAAAAGGUUUAGAUUUCAAUAGAAACUGACUUUUUUUAAAAUAUAAUUUAACCUGGUGACACCCCCCUUGGCUUUCAAGCAGACGUACUGUUUCUGGUUUCAUUAACUCAAUGGAGCUAAACUCAAGAUGCAGCAAUUGCAAAGAGUACCUGCCUUGCAAAGUCUUCUCUUCUCUGAGCUGUAUUGGGAAGUCUGUGAUUGGACACAGAAAUUCUUGUCGGGGUUAGAAGGUAAGUGUUUGCAAAGGCAGCAGACAAGAGAACUUCAGGUUUUGCAAGGUUAUUUUUAGAUUGAGAAAAAAAAAACAUAAUUAAAUGCUUGCAAGUUUUAUUUGGGCUAUAUCUACUAAACAGUUAUUUUAAAAAAUUUACUUUUUUUUUUAAAUUUGGACAGAGGAGUGUUCCUUUUAAUGCGGCGUUAUAUUGUUUAAAAAAAUAAAAAAAACACCUUUUGGGUAUUGUGGAG